GAUGAACGCUGGCGGCGUGCCUAAUACAUGCAAGUCGAGCGAACGGACGAGACGCUUGCUUCUCUGAUGUUAGCGGCGGACGGGUGAGUAACACGUGGCUAACCUACCUAUAAGACUGGGAUAACUUCGGGAAACCGUAGCUAAUACCGGAUAAUAUUUUGAACCGCAUGGUUCAAAAGUGAAAGACGGUCUUGCUGUCACUUAUAGAUGGAUCCGCGCUGCAUUAGCUAGUUGGUAAGGUAACGGCUUACCAAGGCAACGAUGCAUAGCCGACCUGAGAGGGUGAUCGGCCACACUGGAACUGAGACACGGUCCAGACUCCUACGGGAGGCAGCAGUAGGGAAUCUUCCGCAAUGGGCGAAAGCCUGACGGAGCAACGCCGCGUGAGUGAUGAAGGUCUUCGGAUCGUAAAACUCUGUUAUUAGGGAAGAACAUAUGUGUAAGUAACUGUGCACAUCUUGACGGUACCUAAUCAGAAAGCCACGGCUAACUACGUG
rnacentral:rRNA from 1 species